rnacentral:rRNA from 1 species
CUGGCGGCGUGCUUAACACAUGCAAGUCGAACGGUGACGACCAGCUUGCUGGUCUGAUCAGUGGCGAACGGGUGAGUAACACGUGAGCAACCUGCCCUUCACUCUGGGAUAAGCCUUGGAAACGAGGUCUAAUACCGGAUAUGAGACGCACCGGCAUCGGUAGCGUCUGGAAAGAUUUAUCGGUGAGGGAUGGGCUCGCGGCCUAUCAGCUUGUUGGUGGGGUGAUGGCCUACCAAGGCGACGACGGGUAGCCGGCCUGAGAGGGCGACCGGCCACACUGGGACUGAGACACGGCCCAGACUCCUACGGGAGGCAGCAGUGGGGAAUAUUGCACAAUGGGCGCAAGCCUGAUGCAGCGACGCCGCGUGAGGGAUGACGGCCUUCGGGUUGUAAACCUCUUUCAGCAGGGAAGAAGCGCAAGUGACGGUACCUGCAGAAGAAGCGCCGGCUAACUACGUGCCAGCAGCCGCGGUAAUACGUAGGGCGCAAGCGUUGUCCGGAAUUAUUGGGCGUAAAGAGCUCGUAGGCGGUUUGUCGCGUCUGCUGUGAAAUCCUCAGGCUCAACCUGGGGCUUGCAGUGGGUACGGGCAGACUAGAGUGCGGUAGGGGUGACUGGAAUUCCUGGUGUAGCGGUGGAAUGCGCAGAUAUCAGGAGGAACACCGAUGGCGAAGGCAGGUCACUGGGCCGCAACUGACGCUGAGGAGCGAAAGCAUGGGGAGCGAACAGGAUUAGAUACCCUGGUAGUCCAUGCCGUAAACGUUGGGCACUAGGUGUGGGGCUCAUUCCACGAGUUCCGUGCCGCAGCAAACGCAUUAAGUGCCCCGCCUGGGGAGUACGGCCGCAAGGCUAAAACUCAAAGAAAUUGACGGGGGCCCGCACAAGCGGCGGAGCAUGCGGAUUAAUUCGAUGCAACGCGAAGAACCUUACCAAGGCUUGACAUGCACCGGUAACACUCAGAGAUGGGUGCCCCGCA